UAUUAAAAAUUUUUGUCCAUUUGUACCAUAAAAAGUUAGCGUGGUUGAGAGAAUAAUUAGAUAGUGACACAUGGCAUGCCACAUGUACCUUAUCCCGACCAAUUUUUAAAAGUAGAAAUAGACAAAACUUUUAACC
rnacentral:pre_miRNA from 1 species